UACGUAGGGUGCAAGCGUUAAUCGGAAUUACUGGGCGUAAAGCGUGCGCAGGCGGUUCGCUAAGACAGAUGUGAAAUCCCCGGGCUUAACCUGGGAACUGCAUUUGUGACUGGCGGGCUAGAGUAUGGCAGAGGGGGGUAGAAUUCCACGUGUAGCAGUGAAAUGCGUAGAGAUGUGGAGGAAUACCGAUGGCGAAGGCGGCAUCCUGGACCGGCAUUGACGCUGAGGCGCGAAAGCCAGGGGAGCAAACGGG
rnacentral:rRNA from 1 species